rnacentral:rRNA from 1 species
AAACAUUGGCAAGUUCGAAGCGGGAAGAAGUGGAGCUUGCUCCAUGAUUCAGCAGCGGACGGGUGAGUAAUGCCUAGGAAUCUGCCUGGUAGUGGGGGACAACGUUUCGAAAGGAACGCUAAUACCGCAUACGUCCUACGGGAGAAAGUGGGGGAUCUUCGGACCUCACGCUAUCAGAUGAGCCUAGGUCGGAUUAGCUAGUUGGCGAGGUAAAGGCUCACCAAGGCGACGAUCCGUAACUGGUCUGAGAGGAUGAUCAGUCACACUGGAACUGAGACACGGUCCAGACUCCUACGGGAGGCAGCAGUGGGGAGUAUUGGACAAUGGGCGAAAGCCUGAUCCAGCCAUGCCGCGUGUGUGAAGAAGGUCUUCGGAUUGUAAAGCACUUUAAGUUGGGAGGAAGGGCAGUAAGUUAAUACCUUGCUGUUUUGACGUUACCGACAGAAUAAGCACCGGCUAACUUCGUGCCAGCAGCCGCGGUAAUACUAAGGGUGCAAGCGUUAAUCGGAAUUACUGGGCGUAAAGCGCGCGUAGGUGGUUCGUUAAGUUGGAUGUGAAAGCCCCGGGCUCAACCUGGGAACUGCAUC